rnacentral:lncRNA from 1 species
UUAGUCAAGCACAUCAAAAUGAGAUGAAUCGUGCUUCAGAACUGUUGACUAUUCUCCAUAGUCCGUAGGAGAACCUACACAACUUGCUCACAUGGAGAAAUUUUGGUAUUUACAACAUCAGAAACUACAGUGAAAGCUUGAGCUAAAUUGGCAGCACCAUGGGAAACCCAACACUUGGAUGAACAGCAGUGCAUAUGGUGAAUAUGGGGGAAGAAUUCUGAAGCUGUAA